UACGGGGGGGGCAAGCGUUGUUCGGAAUUACUGGGCGUAAAGGGCUCGUAGGCGGCCAACUAAGUCGGAUGUGAAAUCCCCAGGCUCAACCUGGGAACUGCAUCCGAUACUGGAUGGCUUGAAUCCGGGAGAGGGAUGCAGAAUUCCAGGUGUAGCGGUGAAAUGCGUAGAUAUCUGGAGGAAUACCGGUGGCGAAGGCGGCUUCCUGGACCGACACUGACGCUGAGGCGCGAAAGCUAGGGGAGCAAACGGG
rnacentral:rRNA from 1 species